ACGGAGGAUGCGAGCGUUAUCCGGAUUUAUUGGGUUUAAAGGGUGCGUAGGUGGACUGUUUAGUCAGUGGUGAAAUGCUGAUGCUCAACGUUAGCAUUGCCGUUGAAACUGACAGUCUUGAGAGUGAUUGAGGCAGGCGGAAUGUGUGGUAUAGGGGGAAAAUGCAAAGAUAUGACAAGGAACUGCGAUAGAGAGGGAAGUUUACCAAGCCACAACUGACACUGAAGCACGAAAGCGUGGGGAUCAAACAG
rnacentral:rRNA from 1 species